CCUACGGGAGGCAGCAGUGGGGAAUAUUGGACAAUGGGGGCAACCCUGAUCCAGCCAUGCCGCGUGUGUGAAGAAGGCCCUCGGGUUGUAAAGCACUUUCAGUGAGGAAGAACGCCUGGUGGUUAAUACCCAUCAGGAAAGACAACACUCACAGAAGAAGCACCGGCUAACUCCGUGCCAGCAGCCGCGGUAAUACGGAGGGUGCGAGCGUUAAUCGGAAUUACUGGGCGUAAAGCGCGCGUAGGUGGCUUGAUAAGCCGGUUGUGAAAGCCCCGGGCUCAACCUGGGAACGGCAUCCGGAACUGUCAAGCUAGAGUGCAGGAGAGGAAGGUAGAAUUCCCGGUGUAGCGGUGAAAUGCGUAGAGAUCGGGAGGAAUACCAGUGGCGAAGGCGGCCUUCUGGACUGACACUGACACUGAGGUGCGAAAGCGUGGGUAGCAAACAGGAUUAGAUACCCUAGUAGUC
rnacentral:rRNA from 1 species